AGUCUCGCACAAGUUCAAUGAAGAUCUGUGGCCACAGCUUGUGCAGGGAUUCAUUUUUAACAUUGAUGAGGGCAGCAUCUUUAACCAGUCCCCGCACGUACGCUUGGCAAAACAUCUUCGUUUCCUGAUAUCAAGUGGUGACGAGAGGGCGUACAGAAGUGAGAUAUGCCAACUAAUGGAAUGGUGCCACAGCAACAACCUGGCACUCAAUGUCAGUAAGAGGAAAGAGCUGAUUGUGGACUUCAGGAAGGAUGUUCCAGAGGUUGACUGCAAAGCCAAUGAGAUGGCAUCUGCUGUGCACGGUAGGCAAAAUGGAGCAGAUACAAGUCCCAUCUCAGCUGCACAAGGAACAGAAUUCAAUGAGAAUGCCAGCUCCAUCGUGCUCUGACUCUACAGUAUAUUCGUCAAUGCCAAAGCCAGCAGGUCUAUCCCAGCCCACUGUUAAUUACAUUAAUGAGUCAUCGAGACUUCACCUUCAAGACGGCCUGCUUGUGGAUUUCACGUUUUUUGUCGUCUUCUUUCCUGGCCAUGACUGACACCAUUCGCCUCUCUUCUUCCUACAAAAUAAUUGAACAAGAUAUCAGCCACUACUUACUAUCAACAGCAGCAAGUCAAUGAGCUGUUCAAAGAUUAUAAAAGCAUAUAAUUCUGUCAUCAGUAUGAUGAGACAAAAACACUAUUAGAAACAAAAACAUGACAUACAGAAUAAAAUUAUUAACUGUUUCCAUUAAUGCUGCUGAGUCUAUUGACCACUUCCAGCAGGUUCUUUUCAACUUCAGAUAUCCAGUAUCUGUAGUUUUUUUUGUUUUCAAUUAUUCAAUAUUCAGUUCCUUAAGGUUGUCACAGCCAGUGGAGGGAGCGCGAUAGUGGGGAUAAGCUCCCACUACUUACUAAAUGCUCCCAAUGAUAUACAUCUCAAUGACAGACAUCACUGACAACCAAGUCCAACUCCUGGCCUUCGUGUGCGGCUGAGCUACUAAACCCAGUGGAACCGUUUCUACUGACAGAAGAUGGGGUAAGGCAGGUUAAUGCCGUCUUAAAACCAGUCACCUUGGGCAGAUGGGGCUUGUCAGCCAUGGUUGGCAGCUCAUCUAGAAUGUGGCACCAGAAGUAAUCCAGAGAUCGUAUGUUAGAGGUCCUGGUCCUGAUCUAAUUAAGCUUAAGAUGCACUACAGUCUUGGAGAUUGCUGUGUACUGCUGACUGCUUUUCUAUAUAUCAAUGCUAUUGUAGUUUUUCAGUUUUCAUUUCUGCCAGUUUUGGUAUCCCCAAUUCAACCAAAGUGGGUCAGUAAAACUGAAUGUCCAAUUCCGGAAGCAUUGUUGUGAAUUACUAAUAGACUGACAACUCAUUGACGGUUCCUAGCACACAGA